CUGGCUACAGGACGAACGCUGGCGGCGUGCCUAAUACAUGCAAGUCGAACGAACUGUGGAAAGCUUGCUUUUCAGAGUUAGUGGCGAACGGGUGAGUAACACGUAAGUAACCUAGCUAUUAGACGAGGAUAACUACUGGAAACGGUAGCUAAGACUGGAUAUGAUAGAAAUAUUUAAAGGAUGCUAAGGCAUCGCUAAUAGAGGGGCUUGCGGCGCAUUAGCUAGUUGGUAGGGUAAAAGCCAACCAAGGCGAUGAUGCGUAGCCGACCUGAGAGGGUGACCGGCCACACUGGGACUGAGACACGGCCCAGACUCCUACGGGAGGCAGCAGUAGGGAAUCUUCGGCAAUGGACGAAAGUCUGACCGAGCAACGCCGCCGUGAGUGAAGAAAGUUUUCGGAUUGUAAAGCUCUGUUAUUAGGGAAGAAAGGCUCUAGGAGGAAAUGCUUAGGGAUUGACGGUACCUAAUGAGGAAGCCACGGCUAACUACGUGCCAGCCGCCGC
rnacentral:rRNA from 1 species